rnacentral:rRNA from 1 species
UACAGAGGGGGCAAGCGUUGUUCGGAAUUACUGGGCGUAAAGGGCGCGUAGGCGGCCUUCUAAGUCGAACGUGAAAUCCCCGGGCUCAACCCGGGAACUGCGUCCGAUACUGGAAGGCUUGAAUCCGGGAGAGGGAUGCGGAAUUCCAGGUGUAGCGGUGAAAUGCGUAGAUAUCUGGAGGAACACCGGUGGCGAAGGCGGCAUCCUGGACCGGUAUUGACGCUGAGGCGCGAAAGCCAGGGGAGCAAACGGG